rnacentral:rRNA from 1 species
CAAGGUAGCCGUACCGGAAGGUGCGGCUGGAUCACCUCCUUUCUAAGGAGCACACGCCAACCCAUCCGACACAGCUACAUACGUAGUUGUCGGUGAUGGUGAGGCUGUCUCAAAGAAAGUGUCGAAGCCUGGCAUCCCUCUUCAGCUACAAUGCGUUUGUUAUGCAUCUUGAGAAUGAAAGAGCGAGCACGAGUAAUCAACAUAAGUACUCCAAGUUAUUAAGAGCCAACGGUGGAUGCCUUGGCGCCUGAAGCCGAUGAAGGACGUAGGCGACUGCGAUAAGCCAUGGGGAGCUGUCUACCAAGCUUCGAUCCAUGGAUCUCCGAAUGGGGAAACCCGACAUCAGUUAAUGCGAUGUCACCCCUGCCUGAAUAUAUAGGGCAGGAGGAGGGAACAAGGGGAAUUGAAACAUCUCAGUACCCUUUAGGAAAGGAAAACAACAGUGACUCCCCAAGUAGCGGCGAGCGAAAAGGGAAGAGCCUAAACCGAACCGGU